rnacentral:rRNA from 1 species
GACGAACGCUGGCGGCGUGCUUAACACAUGCAAGUCGAACGGAAAGGCCCUGCUUUUGUGGGGUUCUCGAUUGGCGAACGGGUGAGGAACACGUGAGUAACCUGCCCUUGACUUUGGGAUAACUUCAGGAAACUGGGGCUAAUACCGGAUAGGAGCUCCUGCUGCAUGGUGGGGGUUGGAAAGUUUCGGCGGUUGGGGAUGGACUCGCGGCUUAUCAGCUUGUUGGUGGGGUAGUGGCUUACCAAGGCUUUGACGGGUAGCCGGCCUGAGAGGGUGACCGGCCACAUUGGGACUGAGAUACGGACCAGACUCCUACGGGAGGCAGCAGUGGGGAAUAUUGCACAAUGGGCGGAAGCCUGAUGCAGCAACGCCGCGUGCGGGAUGACCGCCUUCGGGUUGUAAACCGCUUUCGCCUGUGACGAAGCGUGAGUGACGGUAAUGGGUAAAGAAGCACCGGCUAACUACGUG